GAUAACAAAUUAAAUCACCCUGAUUGCACCCGACCUCUGGGUCUCAGAAGCUAAGCGGGGUCCAGCCUAGGUUGGCACUUGGAUAGGAGACUGCCAGGAAUUACCAGGUGUUUUAGCU
rnacentral:rRNA from 1 species